UAGAGUUUGAUCCUGGCUCAGAGUGAACGCUGGCGGUAGGCCUAACACAUGCAAGUCGAACGGCAGCACAGUAAGAGCUUGCUCUUAUGGGUGGCGAGUGGCGGACGGGUGAGGAAUACAUCGGAAUCUACUUUUUCGUGGGGGAUAACGUAGGGAAACUUACGCUAAUACCGCAUACGACCUACGGGUGAAAGCAGGGGAUCUUCGGACCUUGCGCGAUUGAAUGAGCCGAUGUCGGAUUAGCUAGUUGGCGGGGUAAAGGCCCACCAAGGCGACGAUCCGUAGCUGGUCUGAGAGGAUGAUCAGCCACACUGGAACUGAGACACGGUCCAGACUCCUACGGGAGGCAGCAGUGGGGAAUAUUGGACAAUGGGCGCAAGCCUGAUCCAGCCAUACCGCGUGGGUGAAGAAGGCCUUCGGGUUGUAAAGCCCUUUUGUUGGGAAAGAAAUCCAGCCGGCUAAUACCUGGUUGGGAUGACGGUACCCAAAGAAUAAGCACCGGCUAACUUCGUGCCAGCAGCCGCGGUAAUACGAAGGGUGCAAGCGUUACUCGGAAUUACUGGGCGUAAAGCGUGCGUAGGUGGUUGUUUAAGUCUGUUGUGAAAGCCCUGGGCUCAACCUGGGAACUGCAGUGGAAACUGGACAACUAGAGUGUGGUAGAG
rnacentral:rRNA from 1 species